GAUGAACGCUGGCGGCGUGCCUAAUACAUGCAAGUCGAGCGAACAGACGAGGAGCUUGCUCCUCUGACGUUAGCGGCGGACGGGUGAGUAACACGUGGAUAACCUACCUAUAAGUCUGGGAUAACUUCGGGAAACCGGCGCUAAUACCGGAUAAUAUAUUGAACCGCAUGGUUCAAUAGUGAAAGACGGUUUUGCUGUCACUUAUAGCUGGAUCCGCGCCGCAUUAGCUAGUUGGUAAGGUAACGGCUUACCAAGGCAACGAUGCGUAGCCGACCUGAUAGGGUGAUCGGCCACACUGGAACUGAGACACGGUCCAGACGCCUACGGGAGGCAGCAGUAGGGAAUCUUCCGCAAUGGGCGAAAGCCUGACGGAGCAACGCCGCGUGAGUGAUGAAGGUCUUCGGAUCGUAAAACUCUGUUAUUAGGGAAGAACAAAUGUGUAAGUAACUAUGCACGUCUUGACGGUACCUAAUCAGAAAGCCACGGCUAACUACGUG
rnacentral:rRNA from 1 species